rnacentral:tRNA from 1 species
GGUCGCGUAACUCAGCCGGAUAGAGUGUCAGAUUCCUAAUCUGAAAGUCAGUGGUUCGAAUCCACUCGUGACCACCA